rnacentral:rRNA from 1 species
UGCAAGUCGAACGAUGAACCACUUCGGUGGGGAUUAGUGGCGAACGGGUGAGUAACACGUGGGCAAUCUGCCCUGCACUCUGGGACAAGCCCUGGAAACGGGGUCUAAUACCGGAUACUGACCUGCCUGGGCAUCCAGGCGGUUCGAAAGCUCCGGCGGUGCAGGAUGAGCCCGCGGCCUAUCAGCUUGUUGGUGAGGUAAUGGCUCACCAAGGCGACGACGGGUAGCCGGCCUGAGAGGGCGACCGGCCACACUGGGACUGAGACACGGCCCAGACUCCUACGGGAGGCAGCAGUGGGGAAUAUUGCACAAUGGGCGCAAGCCUGAUGCAGCGACGCCGCGUGAGGGAUGACGGCCUUCGGGUUGUAAACCUCUUUCAGCAGGGAAGAAGCGAAAGUGACGGUACCUGCAGAAGAAGCGCCGGCUAACUACGUGCCAGCAGCCGCGGUAAUACGUAGGGCGCAAGCGUUGUCCGGAAUUAUUGGGCGUAAAGAGCUCGUAGGCGGCUUGUCACGUCGGUUGUGAAAGCCCGGGGCUUAACCCCGGGUCUGCAGUCGAUACGGGCAGGCUAGAGUUCGGUAGGGGAGAUCGGAAUUCCUGGUGUAGCGGUGAAAUGCGCAGAUAUCAGGAGGAACACCGGUGGCGAAGGCGGAUCUCUGGGCCGAUACUGACGCUGAGGAGCGAAAGCGUGGGGAGCGAACAGGAUUAGAUACCCUGGUAGUCCACGCCGUAAACGGUGGGCACUAGGUGUGGGCAACAUUCCACGUUGUCCGUGCCGCA